rnacentral:tRNA from 2 species
AGUUAAUGAGCUUGAAUUAAGCAUAUGUUUUGAAAACAUAAUAUAGAAAUUAAAAUUUUCUAUUAACUU